rnacentral:rRNA from 1 species
UGGCUAUCUGGUCGAUCCCCAGACCGCGGAGAUGGUGAAUUCGGUGCUGCGCACCGCGGCCUCUAUCCGCUCGAUCGCCAGCGUGGUGCAUGUGGAAGCAACGUCCUAUGACGUGCUCAUCGACCAUACGGACAUCGGCGCGGGCUGGGCCACGGAAACCGAUCCGUCGACUGAAACGUCGACACCGUCCAUCGACCGGAUCACCGUGCCGCUGCAUGAGCUCUCGGCGCUGCCGAAGGCGUCCCAGCGGCUGCUGGAUGAUGUGGCCUUCGAUAUCGAGAGCUGGCUUGCCGGCCGCAUCGCGGACAAGUUCGCCCGGGCCGAGGCAGCGGCCUUCAUCAACGGGGACGGUGUGGACAAGCCCACCGGUUUCCUGACCCACACGGCGGUGGACAAUGAUGUCUGGGCCUGGGGCAAUCUGGGCUACGUGCCGUCGGGAACCGCCGGGGCCGUGGACGGGGAUGCCAUCGUCGAUCUGGUCUAUGCGCUGGGGGCGGAAUACCGCGCCAAUGGCACCUUCGUGAUGAAUUCGAAGAUGGCGGGUCAGAUCCGCAAGCUCAAGGAUGCCGACGGUCGCUUCCUGUGGUCUGACGGUCUGGCCAGCGGUGAACCGGCGCGCCUGAUGGGGUAUCCGGUGCUGAUCGCCGAAGACAUGCCCGAUCCGACGACCGACAGUUUCUCGCUCGCGUUUGGCGACUUCGGUGCGGGCUACACGGUUGCGGAGCGCCCCGAUCUGCGGGUUCUGCGUGAUCCCUUCAGCGCAAAGCCGCAUGUGCUGUUCUA